rnacentral:rRNA from 1 species
CUGAGGGAUAUUGCACAAUGGGGGAAACCCUGAUGCAGCGACGCCGCGUGGGUGACGAAGUCCUUCGGGAUGUAAAGCCCUUUUCUCGGGGAAGAGAACGGACGGUACCCGAGGAAUAAGCCCCGGCUAACUACGUGCCAGCAGCCGCGGUAAUACGUAGGGGGCAAGCGUUGUCCGGAAUUACUGGGCGUAAAGCGCCUGUAGGCGGGAACGUGCGUCGGACGUGAAAGGCGGGGGCUUAACCCCCGAGCGGCGUUCGAAACGGCGUUUCUUGAGGGUCGAAGAGGAGCGUGGAAUUCCCGGUGUAGCGGUGAAAUGCGUAGAGAUCGGGAGGAACACCCAUGGCGAAGGCAGCGCUCUGGUCGGCAUCUGACGCUGAGAGGCGAAAGCGUGGGGAGCGAACGG